rnacentral:rRNA from 1 species
UACGUAGGUGGCAAGCGUUAUCCGGAUUUACUGGGUGUAAAGGGCGUGUAGGCGGGGACGCAAGUCAGAUGUGAAAACCACGGGCUCAACCUGUGGCCUGCAUUUGAAACUGUGUUUCUUGAGUACUGGAGAGGCAGACGGAAUUCCUAGUGUAGCGGUGAAAUGCGUAGAUAUUAGGAGGAACACCAGUGGCGAAGGCGGUCUGCUGGACAGCAACUGACGCUGAGGCGCGGAAGCGUGGGGAGCAAACAGG